rnacentral:tRNA from 1 species
GGGGGAUUAGCUCAGCUGGGAGAGCAUCUGUUUUGCAUGUAGAAGGUCAGGGGUUCGAAUCCCCUAUCCUCCACCA